AGUCGAACGGCAGCACAGGGAGCUUGCUCCCGGGUGGCGAGUGGCGCACGGGUGAGUAAUACAUCGGAACGUGUCCUGUUGUGGGGGAUAACUGCUCGAAAGGGUGGCUAAUACCGCAUGAGACCUGAGGGUGAAAGCGGGGGAUCGCAAGACCUCGCGCAAUUGGAGCGGCCGAUGCCCGAUUAGCUAGUUGGUGAGGUAAAGGCUCACCAAGGCGACGAUCGGUAGCUGGUCUGAGAGGACGACCAGCCACACUGGGACUGAGACACGGCCCAGACUCCUACGGGAGGCAGCAGUGGGGAAUUUUGGACAAUGGGGGCAACCCUGAUCCAGCCAUGCCGCGUGCAGGAUGAAGGCCUUCGGGUUGUAAACUGCUUUUGUCAGGGACGAAAAGGAUCGUGAUAAUACCAUGGUCUGCUGACGGUACCUGAAGAAUAAGCACCGGCUAACUACGUGCCAGCAGCCGCGGUAAUACGUAGGGUGCAAGCGUUAAUCGGAAUUACUGGGCGUAAAGCGUGCGCAGGCGGUUCUGUAAGACAGAUGUGAAAUCCCCGGGCUCAACCUGGGAAUUGCAUUUGUGACUGCAGGACUAGAGUUCAUCAGAGGGGGGUGGAAUUCCAAGUGUAGCAGUGAAAUGCGUAGAUAUUUGGAAGAACACCAAUGGCGAAGGCAACCCCCUGGGAUGCGACUGACGCUCAUGCACGAAAGCGUGAGGAGCAAACAGGAUUAGAUACCCUGGUAGU
rnacentral:rRNA from 1 species